rnacentral:sRNA from 1 species
UGAAUUUUCCUCGCAGUUCAGUAUUUUUUGUGAUUUUACUUUUUAGAUAAUAAAAUGUAAAAUCACAAAAAUACUGAACUUAGAGGAAAAUCC